rnacentral:tRNA from 1 species
CAGAGUAUAGCUAAAAUAGCAUAGCAUUUCCCUUACACUGAAAAGUCAUCCGUGCAACCCGGAUUUCUCUGA